rnacentral:snoRNA from 1 species
CCUCUAGAUGAGGAAGAUUUGAUUGCUUAUAUCCUGAAUGGCCUAGAUGGUAAUUUUGAUUCAGUUGUUUCUGCUAUUGGUAUGAAAACUGAACCCAUCUCUAUGAUGGAAGUAUACUCUCAAGUGUUAAAUUUUGAGA